GACGAACGCUGGCGGCGUGCUUAACACAUGCAAGUCGAACGGACAGGCCCUGCUUUUGUGGGGUGCUCGAGUGGCGAACGGGUGAGUAACACGUGAGUAACCUGCCCUUGACUUUGGGAUAACUUCAGGAAACUGGGGCUAAUACCGGAUAGGAGCUCCUGCUGCAUGGUGGGGGUUGGAAAGUUUCGGCGGUUGGGGAUGGACUCGCGGCUUAUCAGCUGGUUGGUGGGGUAGGGGCUUACCAAGGCUUUGACGGGUAGCCGGCCUGAGAGGGUGACCGGCCACAUUGGGACUGAGAUACGGCCCAGAAUCCUACGGGAGGCAGCAGUGGGGAACAUUGCACAAUGGGCGGAAGCCUGAUGCAGCAACGCCGCGUGCGGGAUGACGGCCUUCGGGUUGUAAACCGCUUUCGCCUGUGACGAAGCGUGAGUGACGGUAAUGGGUAAAGAAGCACCGGCUAACUACGUG
rnacentral:rRNA from 1 species